rnacentral:rRNA from 1 species
GCGAUCAUACCAGCACUAAUGCACCGGAUCCCAUCAGAACUCCGAAGUUAAGCGUGCUUGGGCGAGAGUAGUACUAAGAUGGGUGACCUCUUGGGAAUCCUCGUGUUGCACCCC